CUACGGAGGAUCCGAGCGUUAUCCGGAUUUAUUGGGUUUAAAGGGUGCGCAGGCGGCCAUUUAAGUCAGCGGUUAAAUCGUGGGGCUCAACCCCAUUCUGCCGUUGAUACUGGGUGGCUUGAUUGCGGUCGAGGUUGGCGGAAUUCGUUGUGUAGCGGUGAAAUGCAUAGACAUGACGGAGAACACCGAUUGCGUGGGCAGUUGACCAGAACGAAAAUGUCGCUCAUGCACGAAAGUGCGGGGAUCGAACAGGAUUAGAUGCCCUGGUAGACCGCACAGGAAACGAUGAAUACUUGUUUUCGGCGAGAGAAUGUCGGAGGCUAAGCGAAAGCAAUAAGGAUUCCACCUGGGGAGUACGCCAGCAACGGUGAAACUCACAUGAAUUGGCGGGG
rnacentral:rRNA from 1 species